rnacentral:rRNA from 1 species
UACAGAGGCUGCGAGCGUUAAUCGGAAUUACUGGGCGUAAAGCGCACGUAGGUGGCGACGUAAGUCGGGUGUGAAAGCCCCGGGCUCAACCUGGGAAUUGCAUUCGAGACUGCAUUGCUGGAGUACGGAAGAGGAGGGCGGAAUUCCCGGUGUAGCGGUGAAAUGCGUAGAUAUCGGGAGGAACAUCAGCGGCGAAGGCGGCCCUCUGGUCGAGUACUGACACUCAAGUGCGAAAGCGUUGGGAGCAAACAGG